rnacentral:rRNA from 1 species
GUAGCUUGUAUCGACCCGAGCUGUGCCGAAGCUAACGCGAUAAGUAUCCCGCCUGGGGAGUACGCACGCAAGUGUGAAACUCAAAGGAAUUGACGGGGGCCCGCACAAGCGGUGGAGUAUGUGGUUUAAUUCGAUGCAACGCGAAGAACCUUACCAGGGCUUGACAUGUCGCGAAUCUAGCGGAAGCGUUAGAGUGCCUUAGGGAAUGCGAACACAGGUGGUGCAUGGCUGUCGUCAGCUCGUGCCGUGAGAUGUUGGGUUAAGUCCCGCAACGAGCGCAACCCUCGUCCUUAGUUGCCAAUAUUAAGUUAGGCACUCUAGGGAGACUGCCGGGGACAACUCGGAGGAAGGUGGGGAUGUCGUCAAGUCAGCAUGCCCCUUACGUCCUGGGCGACACACGUACUACAAUGGUUGGGACAAAGGGCAGCAAACUCGCGAGAGUAAGCGAAUCUCAUCAAACCCAGCCACAGUUCAGAUUGCAGGCUGCAACUCGCCUGCAUGAAGUAGGAAUCGCUAGUAAUCGCAGGUCAGCAUACUGCGGUGAAUUCGUUCCCGGGCCUUGUACACACCGCCCGUCACACCAUGGAAGCUGGCUACGCCCGAAGUCGUUACCCUAACCCGGUUUUGGGAGGGGGAUGCCGAAGGUAGAGCUAGUGACUGGGGUGAAGUCGUAACAAGGUAGCCGUACCGGAAGGUGUGGCUGGAUCACCUCCUUU